UCCAUUGUGGUGUAAUGGUAACAUAUCCGCCUCUCAAGAGGGAUCUCCUCUGAGUCCGCGGUUGCCCAGGGUUCGAUUCCCUGCAAUGGAG